CUGAAGAGUUUGAUCAUGGCUCAGAUUGAACGCUGGCGGUAUGCUUAACACAUGCAAGUCGAACGGAAAGGCCCUGCUUUUGUGGGGUGCUCGAGUGGCGAACGGGUGAGUAACACGUGAGUAACCUGCCCUUGACUUUGGGAUAACUUCAGGAAACUGGGG
rnacentral:rRNA from 1 species